UAUAUAUAUAAUACAUAUAAUAACUUUAUACAAUAUAUAUUCCUUCAAAUGAAAAAUACCUAUAAUCACCGCCCCCCCCCCAACCCAUCACACUGUCUUUACGCACAAUUAUGCACACGAUUUGAAGGUGAUACACUGGCUUCUGGUUCUUGCUUUGCUAUAAUCCAGAUAUAGAUGAUUCUGAGCUAAACUCUUCUUUGGGCUCUGUUUUGUUAACUAUAAAAUGAAGGCAUUUACUGGGUGAUCUCUAAGGUCCUCUUCAACCUGCCAAGUCCAUAUGUGCAUCUGCCUUUUAUAAACAAAAUCAGUAUGUAGUGGUAUCAACCGAGAUUGCUUUUAAAUGAAUACUCUGUUAACAUGAAUAAUGAUGGUUAUACGUUUUUCCAUCUCUAAACUGGGAUGACGAACUCUGCAGAAAAAAUCACACAGGGAGAUGAAGCUCUUAGAUGACAGGUGUGAAAACACUUUUCAAACUGUAAACAUCUAUUCAAAUGCCACGUGAUGUGAAUUCUCACAGUGAAAAAGGCUUCCCUCCACUUUGCUGAGAGCUCACUUCACUGCAUCUUAGCGCUUGCCUUUUGCCUUGUUGGGAUCUAUUUUAUCUGCCUCUGCUAGAAUGACUUGCUUGGAGGCUCCAGGAGGAAUUCAGGUAGCUGUUGCCUGACUGAACGAGGAAAGGAAUGAAUGAAGAGUUGGAUCACUGUUAGUUCUUACUCUGACACUGGCUAGAAGACUGAGAAUCUGAGGACAGACUAUUUCUGCCUGACCCACCAUGGCUGGUACAGCCUCAGUCGCAUCUUCAUUCAUCAUGUGCUUGCUCUGGGCUAAGCUCUGGCCGAGGUGCUUAGGCUCGAAAAAUGCCUCAAAUUCCCGCCCCCAAAUGCAGGUAUUUGGAAAAACACAAAGGAUUGGCCACGGAUGAUGUCAUACCUUGAAGAAAUCAAAAAAUGAAAUGUGUUUCACAAUGGGACCAUACAGGCUCUCAUCAUGUUUAAAGAAGAAAAAGUUGGUGAAAGCAGCAUCUAUGAGUUCCGGGUGUUUUCUGCUGAGUUUAACCAACUCAAGUCUCUCUUUUCGGCUGUCUCGCCCUCUCCAGACAGCUGUGGAGUUUUUGCUUUCCCAGGGAGGACCUGUGUUGGCUUGCACAGACAUCAUAUCCAGACUGACUCUGGAAGACAGAGAGUGCAACAGAUUUUUCUCCCAAACCAUCACACUGCAAGGGUUGUUGGGAAAGAACUCACCAAGGAAAGAAAACCAAGGCUCUGGGUCGUCUGGGACCCGUCUCUCACCGGCCCAUGGUUUCGAGGACAGAGUCAGUCAGGUCGUAAGUAGGCAUCACGAUAUCCUUGGAAUCUGUGGAGCCACACCAGGAAAAGAUCGGAUGGAUGUUUGAAUCGGAUUUCUUUUUUUCCAAAGGCCAGUCUCCCAAAUUAACAAAAAACUCCACAUCGGGCAUCUUCACCUACGAAAAGAAAGCCAAGAUGGUUAAAAUGAUGGUACAGUUUUUCAUAUCAGCCAUUUCACUAUCAUUGUCAAAACUCCACUAAAACCCUGCUAAAGCACACUACACCCAGGGACAGGAUUCAGCAUAUGGCAAGCCUCCUUUAGGCUCAAAGUAGGUUUAGUACCAAAAUGAUUUUACUGUAAAGUAUCUUCUUUUCUUAAAAAUAUUUACUUAUUUAUUUAUUAUUUUGGCUGCACUGGGUCUUAGUUGCGGCACGCGGGAUCUUCAUUGCGGCACGUGGGAUCGUCAUUGUGGUAUGAGGAAUCUUUUAGCUGUGGCAUGCAUGCAGGAUCUAGUUCCCCAACCAGGGAUCGAACCCAGGUCGCCUGCACUGGGAGCGCGGAGUCUUACCCACUGGACCACCAGGGAAGUCCCAGGUAUUUUCAUCUAUAAUAUACUGUUUGGGGUUGAGUGUAUCCCCCCAAAAGAUAUGCUGAAGUCCUAAACCCCAGUAUCUCAGAAUGACCUUAUUUGGAAAUAGGGCUGCUGCAGAUGUAUUUAGUUAAGAUGAGAUCCUACUGGAGUAGGGUGGACCCUUAAUCCAAUAUGACUGGUGUCCUUGUGAGAAGAGAUGAAGAUGUCAAAACACACAAGGAUUAACACCAUGUGACAACAGAGCGGAGUGAUGCAGCUGCAAACCAGGAACACCAAGGAUUGCCAGGCACCCCCAGAAACUAGGAAGAGCCAAGAAAGGAUCCCCCCUAUAGGUUUUAGAGGAAGCACUGCCUUGCUGACACCUUGAUUUCGGACUUCUAGCCUCCAGAAUUGUGAGAGAACAAAUUGCUGUUGUUUUUAAGCCACCCAGUUUACAGUACUUUGUUACAGCAUCCCUAGGAGACUAAUACAGGUACACUACCUGACAUAAAACUUCAGAAUAGUAUAUAGUACUUAAGGGUCCAGAAUAGAACAACCCUGGUAUUGUUAUUAUUUUUACUUUGAAAAAUUAUAGUGUAAAAUUGGGCUCAAAUUGUCUAUUAUACAUCUGAGAAAAGAAAUACUUACUUUUCUAGUCAAAGAAAGUAGUAUGGCAUCCAUGAAAAUUCUAAAACCUACAUGUUCACCGUGAGUCUUGAUAUAAACCUAGAAGAGAAUUGAAUGUUUAUUCUGUUAGUCUAAAAGUACCCGCUGACUUCACUGAGAUCAAUCUUAUCACAAUGAUCUGCAGAAUGAUUUUUAAUAAAACUAUGUAGCUAGUUGUAGCCAAAUGGUCAAAAUCAAAAAUCACUAAGGCAAGCAAACCUCAGUCAUGAAUUGUACCUUGUUAUCCUUCAAGGUAUAAUGACACAAGCUCUGUCUUUGUCCAAAUCUUUUCGGGAUUUCUGUUGCAAUCUUUUCUGGAUCAAUGGUAGGGAAAUGUGCCAGAUCUCUCUGAAUUUGAGUAAUGGUUUCUGGGCAGUUCAUCUCGCGUAGCCAGGCUGCACUGUCUUCCAAAGGACAGUCACAAUUCUCAUGGUAAACUGGCCCUAAUUACACACAAGGAACAAAGUAUACAGUAAUAAUUUCACUCAGCAUUUGAAACAUGUAACAAAUAUUUGUAAUGUGACUUCACAAGUUUUGCCCAGUUAGAUAGGGAAGGCAAUUUGAUGGAAAACAUAUUUUAAAAAGAAAAACAUUUUUAUUACUCUGGUGUAUCUCAAGUUAAGUCUGUUCUGACCACUCUUCACAGAUAGGUGUUACGAUAUUUUCACAGUCAGGCCCACUUGGCACGAGUUCAAAAGAAAGCCAACGGUGCUACUUUUUGCUCUAAGUGGCUACCAUAGUCCAUUACUCUUUUUUUUUUUUUUUUCUUUUUUGGCGGUGUGGCCUGUAGGAUCUUAGUUCCCUGACCAGGGAUCGAACCCAUGCCUCCUGCAGAGUCUUAACCAUUGGACCACCACUUCCAAUGGACCAUUGGAAGUUCCCAUAGUCCAUUACUCUUUUUUUUUUUAAAUUAAUUUUUAUUGGAGUAUCAUUGCUUUACA